rnacentral:rRNA from 1 species
CCUACGGGAGGCUGCAGUGGGGAAUAUUGCACAAUGGGGGAAACCCUGAUGCAGCAACGCCGCGUGAGUGAGGAAGGAUUUCGGGAUGUAAAGCUCUAUCAGCAGGGAAGAGAAAAGAAGGGACCAGAAAAAGAAGCCCGGGCUAACUACGUGCCAGCAGCCGCGGUAAUCCGUGGGGGGCAAGCGUUAUCCGGAUUUACGGGGUGUAACGGGAGCGGAGACGGUUAGGUCAGUCAGAAGUGACAGCGCCAGGCUCAACCCUGGGACUGCUUUUGAAACUGUCAAACUAGAGUACGGGAGAGGUAAGUGGAAUUCCUGGUGUAGCGGUGAAAUGCGUAGAUAUUAGGAGGAACACCAGUGGCGAAGGCGUCUUACUGGACCGAAACUGACGUUGAGGCUCGAAAGCGUGGGGAGCAAACAGGAUUAGAUACCCCUGUAGUC